GGGGUUGUAGCUCAGUGGUAGAGCGCUCGCCUAGCACGUGCAAGGCCCUGGGUUCAAUCCUCAGCACCA
rnacentral:tRNA from 1 species